ensembl:lncRNA
CUAAGUUAUUCUGGGUGGUUGCUAGGGUGUUGCUAAGCAGUUGUUAGGGUGUUCUGGGUGGUUGCUAGGGUGUUCUGGGUGGUCGCUAGGUGUUCUAAGUGGUUGCUAGGGUAUUGCUAGGCGGUUGCUAGGGUGUUCUGGGUGGUUGCUCGGGUGUUGCUAAGCUGUUGCUAAGGUGUUCUGGAUGGUUACUAGGGUGUUGCUAGGGUGUUGCUAGGGUGUUAUGGGUGGUUGCUAUGGUGUUGCUAGGGUUUAAUAGAUGGUUAGACUGUUGCUAGGGUGUUAUGGGAGGUUGCUAUGGUGUUAUUGUAGUUGUUAGGCAGUUAUGGGUGGUUGCUAGGAUGUUAUGGUGAUUGCUAGUCUGUUAUGGGUGUUUGCUGGGGUGUUAUGGUGAUUGCUAGGCUGUUGCUAGGUGGUUGCUAGGGUAGGGUGAUAGCAAGUGUUCCAAUACUUUUAGCGCUAGACAGUGUUCCAAUACUUUUAGAGCCAGACCAUGUUCCAAUUCUUUGAGCUAGACAGCGUUCCAAUACUUUUGGAGCUAGACAGAGUUCCAAUACUUUUGCAGCUAGACAGUGUUCCAAUAAUCGUAGAGCCAGACCAUGUUCCAAUACUUUUGGACAGUGUUCCAAUAUUUUUUAGAGUUAGACAGUGUUCCAAUACUUUUAGCGCUAGACGGUGUUCCAAUACUUUUAGAGCCAGACCAUGUUCCAAUACUUUUGGACAGUGUUCCAAUAUUUUUUAGAGUUAGACAGCGUUCCAAUACUUUUAGUGCUAGACAGCAUUCCAAUACUUCUUUAGAGCUAGACAGAGUUACAAUACUUUUUUAGAAUUAGACAGCGUUCCAAUAUUUUUAGAGCUAGACAGUAUUCCAAUAUUUUUUAAAGCUAGACAGUGUUCCAAUACAUUUAGAGCUAGACAGUAUUCCAAUAUUUUUUAAAGCUAGACAGUGUUCCAAUACUUUUCAAAGUAGACAGUGUUCCAAUACUUUUAUAGCUAGACAGCGGUCCUAUACUUUGAGGUAAACAGCGUUCCAAUACUUUCAGAGCAAGACAGCAUUCCAAUAUUUUUAGAGCUUGUCAGCGUUCUAAUACUUUUAGAGCUAGAGAGCGUUCCAAUACUUUUCAUGCUAGACAGCAUUCCAAUAUUUUUAUAGCUAGACAGUGUUCCAAUACUUUGAGAUGGACAGUGUUCCAAUACUUUUAGAGCCAGACAGUAUUCCAAUAUUUUUUAGAGCUAGACAGUGGUCCAAUACUUUGAGCUAGACAGCGUUCCAAUACUUUUGGAGCUAGACAGAGUUCCAAUAUUUUUAGAGCUAGACAGCAUUCCAAUACUUUUAGAGCUAGACAGCCUUCCAAUAUUUUCAGAGCUAGACAGCCUUCCAAUAUUUUCAGAGCUAGACAGCCUUCCAGUAGUUUUGGAGCUAGACAGAGUUCAAAUACAUUUGGAGCUAGACAGAGUUCCAGUACUUUUGGACCUAGACAGCAUUCCUUUUUUUUGAGCUAGACAGCAUUCCAAUACUUUGAGCUAGAGAGUGUUCCAAUAUUUUUGGAGCUAGACUGCUUUCCAAUACUUUGAGAAUGCUGGGUGCUUGCUAGACUGUUACUACAUAGUUUAGAGGGUGUUCUGGGUUGUUUCUAGGGUGUAGCUAGAGUAUUCUGGGUGGUUGCUAGUGUGCUGCUAGGUGGCCGCUAAUGUGUUCUGAGUGGUUGCUAGGGCAUUGCUAGGCAGUUGCUAGGGUGUUCUGGGUGGUUGCUAGGCAGUUGCUUGGUGGUUGCUAGGGUGUUCUGGGAGGUUACUAGGGUGCUGCUAGGGGUUUGCUUGGGUGCUCUGUGUGGUUGCUAGGGUUUUCUGAGUGGUUGCUAGGGCAUUGCUAGGCAGUUGCUAGGGUGUUCUGGGUGGUUGCUAGGCAGUUGCUUGGUGGUUGCUAGGGUGUUCUGGGAGGUUACUAGGGUGCUGCUAGGGGUUUGCUUGGGUGCUCUGUGUGGUUGCUAGGGUUUUCUGAGUGGUUGCUAGGCGGUUGCUUGGUGAUUGCUAUAGUGUUCUGGGUGGUUGCUAGGGUGUUGUGGGUGGUUGCAAGGGUGUUGCUAGGGUUUUAUGGGUGGUUGCUUGACUGUUGCUAGGGUGUUGUGGGUGGUUACUUGUCUUGCUUGGGUGCUAUGGGUGGUUGUUAGGUUGUUAUGGGUGGUUGCUAGGGUAUUAUGGGUGGUUGCUGGGGUGUUAUAAUUGUUGCUAGGUUGUUGCUACGAUGUUAUGGGUAGUGGUUAGCUGUUUGUUAGGGUAGGGUGGUAUGCAGCAUUUCAAUACUUUCAGAGCCGGAAAGCGUUCCAAUACUUUUGGAGCCAGACAGCAUUCCAAUAUUUUUGGAGCUAGACAGCGUUCCAUUACUUUUGGAGCUAAACAACGUUCCAAUACUUUCAGAGGUAGACGGAGUUCCAAUAUUUUUAGAGCUAGACAGAGUUCCAAUAUUUUUAUAGCUAGACAGCGUUCCAAUAUUUUUUAGUUAGACAGCAUUCCAAUACUUUUUAGAGCUAGAAAGAGUUACAAUACUUUUUAGAGCUAGACAGUAUUCCAGUACUUUUAGAGCUAGACAACGUUCCAAUACUUUUAGAGCUAGACAGCAUUCCAAUAUGUUGAGCUAGACAGUGUUCCAAUACUUUCAAAGCUAGACAGAGUUCCAAUACUUUUGCAGCUAAACAGAGUUCCAGUCCUUCUGUAGAUAGAGUUCCAAUAUUUUUAGAGCUAGAAUUCCAAUAUUUUUAGAUCUAGACAGUGUUCCAGUACUUUUGGAGCUAGACAGCAUUCCAAUACUUUUAGAGCUAGACAGCAUUCCAAUAUUUUUAUAGAUAGACAGCGUGCCAAUACUUUUGGAGCUAGACAGUGUUCCAAUAUUUUUUAGAGUUAGACAGCGUUCCAAUACUUUUAGAGCUAGACAGCAUUCCAAUACUUUUUAGAGCUUGACUGCAUUCCAAUACUUUUCGAGCUAGACAGCAUUCCAAUACUUUUAGAGCUAGACAGCGUUCCAAUAUUUUUAUAGAUAGACAGCGUUCCAAUACUUUUUCGAUCUAGACAGCGUUCCAAUACUUUUAGAGCUAGACAGCAUUCCAGUACUUUUAGAACUAGGCAGAGUUCCAGCAGUUUUGGAGCUGGACAGCAUUCCAAUAGUUUGUGCUAGACAGAGUUCCAAUACUUUUGCAGCUAGACAGAGUUCCAAUAUUUUUAGAGCUAGACAGCAUUUCAACACUUGUAGAGCUAGACAGAGUUCCAAUACUUUUCAGCUAGACAUCAUUCCAAUAUUUUUAGAGCUAGACAGCGUUCCAAUAUUCUUAGAGCUAGAGAGCAUUCCAAUAUUUUUAGA